rnacentral:rRNA from 1 species
CCUACGGGUGGCAGCAGUGGGGAAUAUUGGACAAUGGGGGCAACCCUGAUCCAGUCAUGCCGCGUGUGUGAAGAAGGCCCUCGGGUUGUAAAGCACUUUCAGUGAGGAAGAACGCCUGGUGGUUAAUACCCAUCAGGAAAGACAUCACUCACAGAAGAAGCACCGGCUAACUCCGUGCCAGCAGCCGCGGUAAUACGGAGGGUGCGAGCGUUAAUCGGAAUUACUGGGCGUAAAGCGCGCGUAGGUGGCUUGAUAAGCCGGUUGUGAAAGCCCCGGGCUCAACCUGGGAACGGCAUCCGGAACUGUCAAGCUAGAGUGCAGGAGAGGAAGGUAGAAUUCCCGGUGUAGCGGUGAAAUGCGUAGAGAUCGGGAGGAAUACCAGUGGCGAAGGCGGCCUUCUGGACUGACACUGACACUGAGGUGCGAAAGCGUGGGUAGCAAACAGGAUUAGAUACCCCAGUAGUC